rnacentral:lncRNA from 1 species
CCGGGCCGCCCCGGAGCGAGCGCGGCAGGGAGGAGCGCGCGGCGGGACGAGGGCACCCCGGGGCCGGCGCCACUCCCGCUGAGCCGCGGCCACCUUCCGGCGGACCCUCAGGACUCUGCGCGCCGCGCCGCAGAUUUCUGCUUGGCAGAUUAGCCAAAAGCAAUAGAGGCUACUCUGUCUGCAUUCUGCGUGCUGCUCUCCGUGAGACCCCACGACAGACCCCAGGCCCACAUCCACUGGGCUUCCAGACCCCCACCCAGCCCCAGACAUUGCUCUGGGGUCUGCCUGAGGCCUGCAGUGUGAAGAUGCCCAGCACCUUCCUAGCAUGACGACCCUGGACCAUGUGAUCGCCACCCACCAGUCCGAGUGGGUCUCCUUCAAUGAGGAGCCACUCUUUCCCGUCCCUUCUGAGGGGGGCCCCAAAGAGCACCUCCCAGGAGCGUCCUCUUCCUCAGACCAGUCAGAGAGCUCCUCCGGGGAGCACCAUGCCUUGGAUGGAGGCUCUCAGGACCUUUCCCACUCAGAGCAUGAUGACUCUUCUGAAAAGCUGGGCCUCAUCUCUGAAGCAGCCUCCCCUCCCGGGAGCCCCGAGCAGCGCCCACCUGACCUGGUCUCAGCCAUCAGCGGCUGGGUUCAGUUUGAAGAUGAUGCACCCUGGGCCAGCUCAUCACCACCUCCUAAAGAAGCAGGGGGGACAGCCACAUCACUGACCAUGCCCUGCUGGAUCUGCCCUUCCUUCAACUCCCUGGGGAGAUGCCCUCUGCCCUCCGAGAGCAGCUGGACCACACAUUCUGAAGACACCAGUAGUCCUAGUUUUGGCCCCUCAUACACAGACCUGCAGGUCGUCAGUGCUGGGGAGCAGAGUGGCCUGGCUUCGGGGGCCGACUCAACAGACAAUUCCUCAUCUCUUCAGGAGGAUGAAGAGGUAGAGAUGGAGGCCAUCAGCUGGCAGGCCGGCAGCCCGGCCAUGAAUGGGCACCCCACCACGCCAGUGACCUCUGCGCGUUUCCCCAGCUGGGUCACUUUUGAUGACAAUGAAGUCAGUGGCCCUUUGUCCCCCAUCACGUCUCCUCUGAAGCCAGAAACACUGCCUCUCACCUCUGUGAUCCCAGACGGACCUUGCAACUCAACAGGGUCAUUUAAGAAGCGGGAACGGCCCAGGAGCACUUUGAUGAACUUCUCCAAAGUUCAGAAGCUAGACGUGUCCUCCGUAAGCCAUCCGCCUGCCGUGCCCGAGGCUCCACCUUGGAGGGCCACCAAUCCUUUUCUGAAUGAGACGCUACAGGAUGUACAGCCCUCCCCCAUCAACCCUUUCCGGGCUUUCUUUGAGGAGCAGGAGAGGCGAGCCCAGAACAGUUCUGUGUCCGGUACCCCAGGCAAGAGCCAGAGAGAUUCCCUCAUCGUCGUCUACCAGGACGCCAUCAGUUUUGAUGACUCGAGCCGAAACCAGUCACACUCGGAUGCUGUGGAAAAACUCAAGCGGCUCCAAAUCGAGGAUUCCGACCACUUUGGGGGUGGGACACUCCCUGAUGAUGACCCAGCCGCCUGGGCUGAACUGGAUGCCCACCCGGCAGGCUCUGAGCAGUCCCCACCCAGGGACGGCUGGCCCAUGAUGCUUAGGAUCCCUGAGAAGAAGAACAUCAUGUCGUCCAGGCACUGGGGACCCAUCUACGUCAAACUGACGGACGGUGGGUACCUGCAGCUCUAUUACGAGCAGGGCCUGGAGAGGCCGUUCCGUGAGUUCAAGCUGGAGAUGUGCCAUGAGAUUUCCGAACCCCGGCUCCAAAACUACGACGAGAAUGGUAGGAUCCACAGCUUGCGGAUAGACCGCGUCACCUACAAGGAGAAGAAGAAGUACCAGCCUAAACCCGCCGUGGCCCACUUGGCCGAGAGGGAGCAGGUCAUCAAGCUGGGCACCACCAACUACGAGGACUUCCUGAGCUUCAUCCGUGCGGUUCAGGACCGCCUCAUGGAGCUGCCGGUGUUGUCAACGGAGCUGAGCACGGUCGGCCUGAACUACCUGGAAGAGGAAAUGACGGUGGAUGUCCAAGAUGAAUUCUCCGGCCUCGUGAGCAAGGGAAACAACCAGAUCCUCCAGCACAGUGUCCUGACGCGGAUCCACGUGCUGAGCUUCCUCUCGGGCCUGGCCGAGUGCCGGCUGGGCCUCAACGACGUCCUGGUCAAAGGGAACGAGGUGGUGUCCCGCCAGGACAUCGUGCCCACCACCACCGCUAAGUGGAUCCGGCUCCACGAGUGCCGCUUUCACGGCUGCGUGGAUGAGGACGUGUUCCGCGGCUCGCGCGUCAUCCUCUUCAACCCUCUAGAUGCCUGCCGCUUCGAGCUCAUGCGGUUCCGGACAGUGUUCGCCGAGAAGACCUUGCCCUUCACGCUCAGGACGGCGGCGAGCAUCCACGGGGCGGAGGUGGAGGUGCAGAGCUGGCUGAGGAUGUCGGCGGGCUUCUCCUCCAACUGGGACCCCCUCACCCAGGUCCCCUGCGAGAACGUGAUGGUCCGCUACCCCGUGCCCAGCGAGUGGGUGAAAAACUUCCGCAGGGAAAGUGUCCUGGGAGAGAAGUCUCUGAAAGCCAAAGUGAACCGGGGGGCAAGUUUUGGCUCAGCCAGCGUCUCCGGCUCUGAGCCGGUCAUGAGAGUCACCCUGGGGACUGCCAAGUACGAGCAUGCCUUCAAUGCCAUCGUGUGGAGGAUAAACCGACUGCCUGACAAAAACUCAGCUUCUGGUCACCCACACUGUUUCUUCUGCCACCUUGAACUUGGCUCGGACCGGGAAGUGCCUUCCAGAUUUGCCAAUCACGUGAACGUCGAGUUCAGCAUGCCUACAACGUCUGCCUCCAAAGCUGCUGUGAGAUCCAUCUCUGUGGAAGACAAGACUGACGUCAGGAAGUGGGUCAAUUAUUCUGCACACUACAGCUACAAGGUAGCCUCGGGGGGCAUCUGGCUAAUGCUUCCAAGUCUGUCUAUUUACCCCCAAACGCUCCCUGCUCCCAUUCCUUUUAGCAGUGCCCGCCCAGGGUGCAGACGGGCGCUCCGGCCACCGUGGAGGUGGCCCAGCACGCAUAGCUGUGGUUUAGUCUGCUCAGAGCUAAAUGAAUAA